rnacentral:rRNA from 1 species
CCUACGGGAGGCUGCAGUGAGGAAUAUUGGUCAAUGGACGAGAGUCUGAACCAGCCAAGUAGCGUGAAGGAUGACUGCCCUAUGGGUUGUAAACUUCUUUUAUAUGGGAAUAAAAUGUUCCACGUGUGGGAUUUUGUAUGUACCAUAUGAAUAAGGAUCGGCUAACUCCGUGCCAGCAGCCGCGGUAAUACGGAGGAUCCGAGCGUUAUCCGGAUUUAUUGGGUUUAAAGGGAGCGUAGGUGGAUUGUUAAGUCAGUUGUGAAAGUUUGCUGCUUAACCGUAAAAUUGCAGUUGAAACUGGCAGUCUUGAGUACAGUAGAGGUGGGCGGAAUUCGUGGUGUAGCGGUGAAAUGCUUAGAUAUCACGAAGAACUCCGAUUGCGAAGGCAGUUCACUGGACUGCAACUGACACUGAGGCUCGAAAGUGUGGGUAUCAAACAGGAUUAGAUACCCUAGUAGUC